rnacentral:ncRNA from 1 species
GCCCCGGGCCGUGACUGGCGCUGAGGUGGAUCACCACCGGGGAGCGGCCCGGCCGACUGAUGCCGCGCGCCUGGGCGAUGAAC